AUAUUUGAGCCACGUGACUGUUCCUUUCAAAUUUAUGGAGACUUUGUGGGAAUUUUGAUAACUAAGUAGUCUAUUGAAAUGCAAUUACUCUGGCUCCUUCAA
rnacentral:pre_miRNA from 1 species